rnacentral:rRNA from 1 species
UCCUACGGGACGCAGCAGUGGGGGAUAUUGCACAAUGGGGGGAACCCUGAUGCAGCGACGCCGCGUGGGCGAUGGAGUGCUUCGGCAUGUAAAGCCCUAUCAGCAGGGAAGAAAAUGACGGUACCUGACUAAGAAGCCCCGGCUAAAUACGUGCCAGCAGCCGCGGUAAUACGUAUGGGGCAAGCGUUAUCCGGAUUUACUGGGUGUAAAGGGAGCGUAGACGGUAAUGCAAGUCUGGAGUGAAAGGCGGGGGCCCAACCCCCGGACUGCUCUGGAAACUGUGUAACUGGGAUGCAGGAGAGGCG